rnacentral:rRNA from 1 species
UAACAAGGUCUCCGUUGGUGAACCAGCGGAGGGAUCAUUACAGAGUUAUACUAAACUCCAAACCCUAUGUGAACUUACCACUGUUGCCUUGGCGUGUGCCGCGGGCUACCUUGUAGCACGCACUACGGCCCGCCGAAGGACCACUAAACUCUUUGUUUUUACUGUGAAAUAUCUGAAUGCUUCAAAACUUAAUAAGUUAAAACUUUCAACAACGGAUCUCUUGGUUCUGGCAUCGAUGAAGAACGCAGCGAAAUGCGAUAAGUAAUGUGAAUUGCAGAAUUCAGUGAAUCAUCGAAUCUUUGAACGCACAUUGCGCCCAUUAGUAUUCUAGUGGGCAUGCCUAUUCGAGCGUCAUUUCAACCCUUAAGCCCUGUUGCUUAGCGUUGGGAAUCAGCGUCUUUACGGCGCUGUUCCUUAAAUUUAGUGGCGGAGUUAUAGCACACUCUAAGCGUAGUAAAUCUUCUCGCUUCUGAGGUUGCGCUAACUCCUCGCCGUAAAACCCCCUAUUUUCCAAUGGUUGACCUCGGAUUAGGUAGGAAUACCCGCUGAACUUAAGCAUA